UUUCGUCUGCACACUGAGAGGAUGAGAAUCUCCGAAGGAGGUUUGAGCCGAACGUAGUGAGACCACGUUGCUUUAGCAACGGCCCGCAGGGCAAGCAUCGAAGAUGCGCAUAAUCCUCUCAUGCCGACCA
rnacentral:sRNA from 4 species